rnacentral:rRNA from 1 species
GCAAGUCGAACGGUAACGGACGAGGAAGACUUGCUUCCUGGCUGACGAGUGGCGGACGGGUGAGUAAUGCCUGGGGAGCUGCCUGAAUGAGGGGGACAACACCUGGAAACGGGUGCUAAUACCGCGUAAGCCCUGAGGGGGAAAGGCCGGGCAACCGGUCGCAUUCAGAUGCGCCCAGGUGGGAUUAGCUAGUUGGUGGGGUAACGGCCUACCAAGGCGACGAUCUCUAGCUGGUCUGAGAGGAUGAUCAGCCACACUGGAACUGAGACACGGUCCAGACUCCUACGGGAGGCAGCAGUAGGGAAUAUUGCACAAUGGGGGAAACCCUGAUGCAGCCAUGCCGCGUGUGUGAAGAAGGCCCUUUGGGUUGUAAAGCACUUUCAGUAUGGAGGAAGUGAGCUGGGUUAAUAGCCUGGUUCAUUGACGUUACAUACAGAAGAAGCACCGGCUAACUCCGUGCCAGCAGCUGC